UACGUAGGGGGCAAGCGUUGUCCGGAAUCAUUGGGCGUAAAGAGCUCGUAGGCGGUUUGUUGCGUCGGCUGUGAAAUCCCGAGGCUCAACCUCGGGUCUGCAGUCGAUACGAGCAAACUAGAGUGUUGCAGGGGAGACUGGAAUUCCUGGUGUAGCGGUGGAAUGCGCAGAUAUCAGGAGGAACACCGAUGGCGAAGGCAGCUCGCUGGGACGGUACUGACGCUGAGGCGCGAAAGCGUGGGGAGCGAACAGG
rnacentral:rRNA from 1 species